ACAAAAAGGGUGGUUUGGGGAUAAGACUGCUAUACGAGGCUAAUACGGUUAGUGUCUUGAAGCUUAUAUGGAAACUAGUCUCUUCUGGGUAUUCAAUGUGGGUCGAUUGGUGAUAACACUGUAUUUUACUCAUUUUAGGUGUGUAUUUAUCAUCAUUUAGCUUUGCAUUUGCUCAUUGUAUCAUAUCAUUUUGCACCACUUUAGCUUGUUUUGCAUACUUAGGCAUCUAGGAUCAUCUUGCAUAUGCAUUGCAUGUUUUGGUGUGCUUUCAGGUGCAGAAGGAGGUAAAAAGGACUCAACUCGAUCCAUUCACUUGAUCUAGGCAGCUUCAGAAGAGGCAUCAUUCUACUCGACCUCUUUACUCGAUCCAGGAUGCUACAAAGAAGGCUGCAGUUUACUCGACCCUCUUACUCGAUCAAGGCAACCUCAGAUGAAGAAGCAGAUUGAUCUACUCGCCCCUCCUACUCGAUCCAUUUACUCGACCAAGGGUGACCAACUCUACAAGACUUGUUGAGCUAUCAAAGCGUCUUCGGAUCCUCCUCAUUCCCCACUCAACCAGACAUCUGCGCAUAUGGAUAGGAGAAGAUGAAGCAUCUACUCGACUAAUUGAUCACUCGGAGCAUAGACACAAAGGCGCAGACUUUGCAGCACCCUCUUUACUCGAUCCCCAAGAUCGAUUAUUAGCCCAAACCGCCUCAAGUCACUUGUCUUCUAGUAAAUCUA
rnacentral:sRNA from 1 species